AAUCAUCAACCUUACAGCUUUGCUGCUGUAAGGCUUGGACUUGGGAGUUGCUGGUAGUUAACUAUCGGCUCUCCUUGAAUGCAUUAGCUAAACUUCCGCUGGUUGGCUUACGGUGUGAUAAUUAUCUACAUCUGACUGCUACUGGCAUUGGAACUAGCUUCUAAUCGUCUUCGGACAAUCACUUAAG
rnacentral:misc_RNA from 1 species